UAGGUUUAAGUAGUUCUAGGGGACUGAUGACCUCAGAAGUUAAGUCCCAUAGUGCUCAGAGCCUUUUGAACCAUUUUUUGAAACUAGUAAAGAGUAUAGGAAGGUGUUUUAUACUGAGUGACUAAAACAGUCAAACAACACUUCGAAAAUGUGCCUCUGUUUAAUGGUUUUGUUCAAAUUUAAAUAAGAAACUCUCGUGUUACAAUGAGCCAAUAAUAGCAACCAAAGCAUUAAGCCGUAAAAAUCAUAUGCAAAAUUUACUAUAAAGAUAGUGACAUUUAUAAUGAGUAUCCUUUACUUCCAACGGAAUUCGUAUUUUCUCCUUGAGUUUCAUUCUUCUACACAUUUUUCUAACGCACACUGUGGACAUUUUUAUAAGCGGAGGUUUGUUGGCAUGUGUACAUAGUGACAAUAUUGACGACAUUUUGUAUACUCUGGACGUAGGCGUUUCUGUCAUAUGGAUGACGUCAUGGGUCAAAGCAGAUGGAUUAAAUCGGAUGCUUCCCUAAUGCCGAGUUCCGAAGGUGCGAGGAUACAAGUGAGUUGGUUUCCAUUCGGACGUCUACGAUGAGACGAUGGACAGGGUGAAAGGCCUCGGCGUUGAUACCGAGUGCACUGGUGGUGGCAGAAUACAGCACGACCCCAGUGCCAAGGUCAUCAAAGUGUACAGCUACUCACAGGGGUUUGGGAAGGCAGACCACAGCAAGACUGUAGAAAUUCUGAAGACUGCAUAUUCUGUUU